rnacentral:rRNA from 1 species
AUUGAACGCCGGCGGCAUGCUUAACACAUGCAAGUCGAACGGUAACAGGCCCUUCGGGGUGCUGACGAGUGGCGGACGGGUGAGUAAUGCUUAGGAAUCUGCCUAGUAGUGGGGGAUAACCCGGGGAAACUCGGGCUAAUACCGCAUACGCCCUACAGGGGGAAAGCGGGGGACUUUCGGGCCGUCGCGCUAUUAGAUGAGCCUAAGUCCGAUUAGCUAGUUGGUAGGGUAAUGGCCUA